GGUCGGAAAAAUAUCUUUAAGUGAAUUUGGGAUUCACCUCAUAACUUCUGACACCUAAAGCUAACAUGAGGUGAAUCCUGCCUGAAGGGGGUUAGAGAGCCAAGGGCUGUAAGCUGAGAAGGCGUUUGGAUGGCAUCAGGCUGUCAGUGCUGUGUUUCCAAAGUGUUUGGGUGGUGACAGACACUGCCAACCACAGAGAUGAGCCUGUCAAGGAGCAGCAGAAGCCAAAAAAUGCAAAGAAGAAAUCCAACACUUUUUUUUUUUUUUUUUCUUCUCUUUUCUCAGAGGGAGUAAAGAUGCUUGGAUUAAACUCCAAGUGAUGACACGAGAGAACGACAAGGUUUGAUCGAUGGCACGUUAGUGAGCCUCGCGCCAAGAGAAAUGGGGCAACUUUGUGCAACGCAGGAGAGCAAACUAGGUGAUCCUACGGUCCUUGUCAUCCUUCCACACAGCCUGCAGCUGUUUGGCUGUUAAACGAACUGUCUCUUUCCUUCAAUUAAAACCUGGUUGCCAGACCUGCAGGUCCAUUGGAUGCACCUGUGCUUCUACACAAAACUCCGCAUAUAUUGUGAGCAAGGAGGAAAUUACCCUUCCCUCCACAAACUGUUUGCUAAGUCAGAAGAGGGUGUGGUAAUGAGAGCAAUAAACCAUGGGAUCUCAUCUGUGCACCUGCUGCAAUCUCCCCUCUCUCUGCUGGUACAGGAAGCCUGAUUUAAGGGCUUGAUUUAUGCCACCUUUCUGCACUGUGGACUGCUUGUGCACUCUCCUUGAAGCAAUCUGAGCAGAAUGUUAUAUGAAAAAGGAGAGACUGCAUCGUAUUUCUGCCAUGCUGCUUGUCAGACAGAUCCAAAAAGCAAACUCUGCAUGAUCUUGUCGUGGGAGCCUGGGAAGCAUCCAGCCCACCAGAAGCUGCUCCAAAUGGACUGGGAGAGAACACCAGGCUGGCCUUGCGUGCCUCUGCCCGCGGUUGCAGAGAAGUGCCGACAUCGCCUGGAAGCUCUUGACACAGAUCAUUGUUCUGGCUUUCUGCUGCUUCAUCACUUGCAAGUACUUAAGAUGACAGCACAUGUCAUGGGGUCUCUCUAUGGCAAGGGCCAGAGUCAUCCUCUGAUGACUCCAGAGUCAUCUUCUGUCCUACAUCACACCAGCAGCUUUGAUGGAACAUCUCAGGGAAGGGUUCAGUGAGGAAGGAGGGAUAAAGAAGGUCCACUGGGAACCUCACCUCACCUUAAAGCCAUCUUUAAGAGUGCUACAUCAGAUACAGAAGCAUUGAUAAUUAAUGAAAAUGGUCUUGAAACUGGUUUAGAGGCUAUUUAUUAAAGUAAAGGGUAAAUUGGACUCUUUGGACCAUCCAUUAUGUCCUGGCACCUCCUUUAACUUCAGUAUCCCAAAGCAGCUUUCACCACCCACGCAACACAUGUUAGGUUUGAAACAAUCCUUAUUCUUGCUUCCCUGGCUGGAAAAGUGUUAUUUGGCACUCAAAGUGGCCACCAUGGAAGGGAAGGGACACGAUCUGGCAGAUGUGUGGCACUGGGAGGCCAGGUCUGCAUUGAGGUGGGUCCCCAACCAAGGCAGCCCUGCUGCAAGGCUGAACUCUGGUUCCCUUCCCAUCUGUGUCAGGCAGUCUUCUUCAUGGUGUAUCCUUACAGCUGCCUGGGAUGGAGGACUGAAAAUUUUCUUUAUGGUGCAGGUCUGGGUGGGUGGACAACUGCUCACUUGCUGAGUUGCCCUAAAGGUUGGCCAAGGACUGUUUCUCCAGGAUGAUGGGUAGCCCAGACUUGCUGCUGGCAUGAUGCAGGGGGCUGUUCAUGAAUAUAAGCUGGUAUAGAAAACUCUUUGUAAGUGCAAUUAAUUUCUUAUUAGUGUUUAUACCCCUAGGAAAACAAAACAGAACAGAUGACUUUAGAAAUAGAGCUAUUUCUAAGUGGUCUUGGUGGCCUUAUGCUUCACCAGGUGAAGAGCAAUUUCUUUUGCAGACCUGAAUACCACUGAACAGAAGUUGUGGGCUACCAGCUGAUGAUAGCGGGUGACUUUGGGCAGUGCUGAGCAGUCCUUGAAGGCCAUAAUUAGGGAGUGGAGAAGUUCAUCCAUAACUUCUCAUGGAAGGAAAGCUGUGGACUCUGCAGUCUCUUCCUGGAUUCAUGUAUGGCCUGAUGACUUCUCUUUCCUAUGGCUCAUUUCCCUCACAGACAGACAUCAUUUGCAUUUCACAGUAUUUGGAGAUGCCUGGAAAUAAAGUGCUGGAG
rnacentral:lncRNA from 1 species